UACGAAGGGGGCUAGCGUUGCUCGGAAUUACUGGGCGUAAAGGGAGCGUAGGCGGAUAGUUUAGUCAGAGGUGGAAAGCCCCAGGGCUCAACCCUGGAAUUGCCCUUUGAUACUGGCUAUCUUGAGUAUGGGAGAGGUUAGCGGAACUCCGAGUGUAGAGGUGAAAUUCGUAGAUAUUCGGAAGAACACCAGUGGCGAAGGCGG
rnacentral:rRNA from 1 species